rnacentral:rRNA from 2 species
UGAGUGGCGAACGGGUGAGUAACACGUGAGUAACCUGCCCCUGACUUCGGGAUAAGCCCGGGAAACUGGGUCUAAUACCGGAUACGACUGCCGGACGCAUGUCUGGUGGUGGAAAGUUUUUUCGGUUGGGGAUGGGCUCGCGGCCUAUCAGUUUGUUGGUGAGGUAAUGGCUCACCAAGACGACGACGGGUAGCCGGCCUGAGAGGGCGACCGGCCACACUGGGACUGAGACACGGCCCAGACUCCUACGGGAGGCAGCAGUGGGGAAUAUUGCACAAUGGGGGAAACCCUGAUGCAGCGACGCAGCGUGCGGGAUGACGGCCUUCGGGUUGUAAACCGCUUUCAGCAGGGAAGAAGCGCAAGUGACGGUACCUGCAGAAGAAGUACCGGCUAACUACGUGCCAGCAGCCGCGGUAAUACGUAGGGUACGAGCGUUGUCCGGAAUUAUUGGGCGUAAAGAGCUCGUAGGUGGUUGGUCACGUCUGCUGUGGAAACGCAACGCUUAACGUUGCGCGUGCAGUGGGUACGGGCUGACUAGAGUGCAGUAGGGGAGUCUGGAAUUCCUGGUGUAGCGGUGAAAUGCGCAGAUAUCAGGAGGAACACCGGUGGCGAAGGCGGGACUCUGGGCUGUAACUGACACU